rnacentral:rRNA from 1 species
UCCCAGUGCUCUGAAUGUCAACGUGAAGAGAUUCAUCAAAUCGCGGGUAAACGGCGGGAGUAACUUUGACUAUACUAUGACUCGCAAAGUGUGACGCA